CAGUAGCCGCGGGAAUACAGAGGGUGCGAGCGUUAAUCGGAUUUACUGGGCGUAAAGCGUGCGUAGGCGGCUUCUUAAGUCGGAUGUGAAAUCCCUGAGCUUAACUUAGGAAUUGCAUUCGAUACUGGGAAGCUAGAGUAUGGGAGAGGAUGGUAGAAUUCCAGGUGUAGCGGUGAAAUGCGUAGAGAUCUGGAGGAAUACCGAUGGCGAAGGCAGCCAUCUGGCCUAAUACUGACGCUGAGGUACGAAAGCAUGGGGAGCAAACUGGAUUAGAUACCCCCGUAGUCCCUGUCUCUUAUAC
rnacentral:rRNA from 1 species